rnacentral:rRNA from 1 species
GGAUAUCCCGGUUUAAUUGGAAGUAGGCGUGCGUUAGGCAAAUCCGGCGCACAUAUACCGAGGCCAAUGAUCGAGCCAGCUUGCUGGUGAAGUGACUGAACGAGGUUCCAGGAAAAGCCACUAAGCUUCAGCUACACACGACCGUACCGCAAACCGACACUGGUGCGCGAGAUGAGUAUUCUAAGGCGCUUGAGAGAACUCAGGAGAAGGAACUCGGCAAAUUGACACCGUAACUUCGGAAGAAGGUGUGCCCUGUUAGUGUGAAGUGAACAACGGAGCAUGAAUGGGUUGCAAAAAAUCGGUGGCUGCGACUGUUUAUUAAAAACACAGCACUCUGCAAACACGAAAGUGGACGUAUAGGGUGUGACGCCUGCCCGGUGCUGGAAGAUUAAAUGAUGGGGUGCAAGCUCUUGAUUGAAGUCCCAGUAAACGGCGGCCGUAACAAUAACGGUCCUAAGGUAGCGAAAUUCCUUGUCGGGUAAGUUCCGACCUGCACGAAUGGCGUAACGAUGGCCACACUGUCUCCUCCUGAGACUCAGCGAAGUUGAAAUGUUUGUGAUGAUGCAAUCUCCCCGCGGAAAGACGGAAAGACCCCAUGAACCUUUACUGUAGCUUUGUAUUGGACUUUGAACAGAUCUGUGUAGGAUAGGUGGGAGGCUUUGAAGCAGGGUCGCUAGAUCUUGUGGAGCCAACGUUGAAAUACCACCCUGGUGUGUUUGAGGUUCUAACCUAGGUCCAUUAUCUGGAUCGGGGACAGUGCAUGGUAGGCAGUUUGACUGGGGCGGUCUCCUCCCAAAGCGUAACGGAGGAGUUCGAAGGUACGCUAGUUACGGUCGGACAUCGUGACGAUAGUGCAAUGGCAUAAGCGUGCUUAACUGCGAGACUGACAAGUCGAGCAGAUGCGAAAGCAGGACAUAGUGAUCCGGUGGUUCUGUAUGGAAGGGCCAUCGCUCAACGGAUAAAAGGUACUCUGGGGAUAACAGGCUGAUACCGCCCAAGAGUUCAUAUCGACGGCGGUGUUUGGCACCUCGAUGUCGGCUCAUCUCAUCCUGGGGCUGUAGCCGGUCCCAAGGGUAUGGCUGUUCGCCAUUUAAAGAGGUACGUGAGCUGGGUUUAAAACGUCGUGAGACAGUUUGGUCCCUAUCUUCCGUGGGCGCUGCAGAUUUGAGGAAGCCUGCUCCUAGUACGAGAGGACCGGAGUGGACACACCUCUGGUGUAUCGGUUGUCACGCCAGUGGCAUUGCCGAGUAGCUAAGUGUGGAAGAGAUAACCGCUGAAGGCAUCUAAGCGGGAAACUCGUUUCAAGAUGAGAUCUGCCGGGGCCUUGAGCCCCCUAAAGAGUCGUUCAAGACCAGGACGUUGAUAGGUCAGGUGUGGAAGCGCAGUAAUGCGUUAAGCUAACUGAUACUAAUUGCUCGUGCGGCUUGACCCC